rnacentral:rRNA from 1 species
UGGGGAAUAUUGCACAAUGGGCGCAAGCCUGAUGCAGCCAUGCCGCGUGUAUGAAGAAGGCCUUCGGGUUGUAAAGUACUUUCAGCGGGGAGGAAGGGAGUAAAGUUAAUACCUUUGCUCAUUGACGUUACCCGCAGAAGAAGCACCGGCUAACUCCGUGCCAGCAGCCGCGGUAAUACGGAGGGUGCAAGCGUUAAUCGGAAUUACUGGGCGUAAAGCGCACGCAGGCGGUUUGUUAAGUCAGAUGUGAAAUCCCUGGGCUCAACCUGGGAACUGCAUCUGAUACUGGCAAGCUUGAGUCUCGUAGAGGGGGGUAGAAUUCCAGGUGUAGCGGUGAAAUGCGUAGAGAUCUGGAGGAAUACCGGUGGCGAAGGCGGCCCCCUGGACGAAGACUGACGCUCAGGCGCGAAAGCGUGGGGAGCAAACAGG